CCGGAGCGGGCGGGCGGG
rnacentral:miRNA from 1 species